rnacentral:rRNA from 1 species
UACAGAGGGUGCGAGCGUUAAUCGGAGUUACUGGGCGUAAAGGGCGCGUAGGCGGUGAGAUGAGUGGAAUGUGAAAGCCCCGGGCUUAACCUGGGAAGGGCAUACCAAACGAUCUGACUGGAGUAGAGGAGAGGGUGGCGGAAUUUCCGGUGUAGCGGUGAAAUGCGUAGAGAUCGGAAGGAACGUCAAUGGCGAAGGCAGCCACCUGGCCUCAUACUGACGCUGAGGCGCGAAAGCGUGGGGAGCAAACAGG